GUGGGUAGUUUGACUGGGGCGGUCUCCUCCUAAAGAGUAACGGAGGAGCACGAAGGUUGGCUAAUCCUGGUCGGACAUCAGGAGGUUAGUGCAAUGGCAUAAGCCAGCUUGACUGCGAGCGUGACGGCGCGAGCAGGUGCGAAAGCAGGUCAUAGUGAUCCGGUGGUUCUGAAUGGAAGGGCCAUCGCUCAACGGAUAAAAGGUACUCCGGGGAUAACAGGCUGAUACCGCCCAAGAGUUCAUAUCGACGGCGGUGUUUGGCACCUCGAUGUCGGCUCAUCACAUCCUGGGGCUGAAGUAGGUCCCAAGGGUAUGGCUGUUCGCCAUUUAAAGUGGUACGCGAGCUGGGUUUAGAACGUCGUGAGACAGUUCGGUCCCUAUCUGCCGUGGGCGCUGGAGAACUGAGGGGGGCUGCUCCUAGUACGAGAGGACCGGAGUGGACGCAUCACUGGUGUUCGGGUUGUCAUGCCAAUGGCACUGCCCGGUAGCUAAAUGCGGAAGAGAUAAGUGCUGAAAGCAUCUAAGCACGAAACUUGCCCUGAGAUGAGUUCUCCCUGAGACUUAAAGUCUCCUGAAGGAACGUUGAAGACGACGACGUUGAUAGGCCGGGUGUGUAAGCGCAGCGAUGC
rnacentral:rRNA from 1 species